rnacentral:rRNA from 1 species
GACGAACGCUGGCGGCGUGCUUAACACAUGCAAGUCGAACGGAAAGGCCUCUUUCGGGGGGUACUCGAGUGGCGAACGGGUGAGUAACACGUGAGUAACCUGCCCUUGACUUUGGGAUAACUUCAGGAAACUGGGGCUAAUACCGGAUAGGAGCUCCUGCUGCAUGGUGGGGGUUGGAAAGUUUCGGCGGUUGGGGAUGGACUCGCGGCUUAUCAGCUUGUUGGUGGGGUAGUGGCUUACCAAGGCUUUGACGGGUAGCCGGCCUGAGAGGGUGACCGGCCACAUUGGGACUGAGAUACGGCCCAGACUCCUACGGGAGGCAGCAGUGGGGAAUAUUGCACAAUGGGUGGAAGCCUGAUGCAGCAACGCCGUGUGCGGGAUGACGGCCUUCGGGUUGUAAACCGCUUUCGCUCAUGACGAAGCUUUGUGUGACGGUAGUGGGCAAAGAAGCACCGGCUAACUACGU